rfam:Endozoicomonas sp. (ex Bugula neritina AB1) isolate AB1-5 ACH42_contig000255, whole genome shotgun sequence.
AAAAUGGCGCUAUUAAGCGCCAUUUUUCUACAUAAUAAUAAGUCA